ACUCGCCUCCACGGAAGACCAUUUGAUGACAGCCCUUGGGGGGGCCGCGGGGCUUUGGGUUUUUACCUGAAGUCACACGUUUAGGACUUUAUUUUGAAGGCGAAACAACCCGACUUCUGGUCUGAUGCCGUCUCUCUUUCUGGCUGCGUUUCAAGCGAGACAUCUUACCCCGAGCUCUUACAUGAGAGUCCCUCGGUACAUUAGAUGGUCCAGAAAACAGCAGCGGCAGCACCACAACACCCUGUGCGACACCUGACGCCAAGGAACAAACACUAAGCACCACGGUUGAGACCAUGGACGAAGGCGCUAAUGUGCAAGAUGAUGAGGGUCCUUUAAAGACCCCCUCCCCUCCACCGCAUUCCACAAAGCUAGGAAGAAAAGCGAAGGAGAGAGCACCUGUCAGGCCACCCUGCAGGGAAGCCUAAAGCUGCACUUGGCAGAGGCACAAAGACAGCGACUGGAGGAGACACAGGAGGACGGAGGAGGACCACGAGAGGGACGCUGCCACAGAGGCCUUCCAUGCGCAGUUUCUGAACCUUUGGCACCUUAAUUACACGUGUAACAGACAUGACCUCCCUGUCAACUGAUUUCUUUCCCUUCUCCACAUUCGCACCCUAUGCGCCUUUUUUGCAUACUGUUAAACUUUUGGAAAUCUUUGCCUGU